rnacentral:rRNA from 1 species
GAAUUCCAGGUGUAGCGGUGAAAUGCGUAGAGAUCUGGAGGAAUACCGGUGGCGAAGGCGGCCCCCUGGACAAAGACUGACGCUCAGGUGCGAAAGCGUGGGGAGCAAACAGGAUUAGAUACCCUGGUAGUCCACGCCGUAAACGAUGUCGAUUUGGAGGUUGUGCCCUUGAGGCGUGGCUUCCGGAGCUAACGCGUUAAAUCGACCGCCUGGGGAGUACGGCCGCAAGGUUAAAACUCAAAUGAAUUGACGGGGGCCCGCACAAGCGGUGGAGCAUGUGGUUU